AUUACCCAAUACUGACACGGUGAGGUAGUGACAAGAAAUAACAAUACGGGGCUUAAUGUCUUGUAAUUGGAAUGAUGGGAAUUUAAACCUCUUCCAGAGUAUCAAUUGGAGGGCAAGUCUGGUGCCAGCAGCCGCGGUAAUUCCAGCUCCAAUAGCGUAUAUUAAAUUUGUUGCAGUUAAAAAGCUCGUAGUUGAAUUUCUGCUGCAUUACAUUUCUCUUGUUUGAGUUUGUUAUUGUGGCUUAUUUCGGAUUGAUUUUUAUCAUUCCGGAUGAUUACUUUGAGAAAAUUAGAGUGCUCAAAGCAGGCUUUUGCCUUGAAUAGUUUAGCAUGGAAUAAUAGAGUAGGACUUUGGUUCUAUUUUGUUGGUUUUAGGUACCAAAGUAAUGGUUAAUAGGAACAGUUGGGGGCAUUCGUAUUUAA
rnacentral:rRNA from 1 species